rnacentral:rRNA from 1 species
UGCGUAGGCGGUUUACUAAGUCAGAUGUGAAAGCCCCGGGCUUAACCUGGGAACUGCAUUUGAUACUGGUAGGCUAGAGUAUGAUAGAGGGGGGUAGAAUUCCUGGUGUAGCGGUGAAAUGCGUAGAUAUCAGGAGGAAUACCAGUGGCGAAGGCGGCCCCCUGGAUCAAUACUGACGCUGAGGUACGAAAGCGUGGGUAGCGAACA